ACACUCUCUCUCGAACUUGAACUUGCCAGAGAGAACUCAGGCACUGACUGUGACGACGCGGGUGGGGAGAGACUGUGCACCUACACGUGUCACUUCACAAAGGCCUCCAGGGGCUUAUGAUCAGGCAAAGGAGACACCAGGAAAGAGGAGCAGAGUGGCUAGGGCAGUGCACUGCAGAUGCAUGGACGAAAGCUCGCAGCGACACAGGUAUGGGGUGUCUAAUCAGGGAUGAGUGUGAGCAGCAGAAUGAGGAGCAUGCUUUCCCAGAGGAAGAGAGGAAGCCACUGGAGAGAUGAAGGAUGCCAUGGACAGGAGGUGGUGUCUCUGGAGCCGCCGAGCAGCAGCCUCAUUGCUCAGAAGAUGAAGAUGCUGACGAAGACCCAGACAGGAAAAAAGGAAGAAAAAGCAUCCUGAUUGUUCCAUUAGCAAAGCCACAGUCCCGGAGAGCAAGGGGAGGGGCACAGCAGGCAGCCGCACCCAUGGGAUGCAUCUGCAGCUUGUGAGCAAUGCAUGAAAGAUGAAUCACACAGCAGCAAUGCCUUCAGCUUCCGUGUGCUAUGGCUCACUCAGCACCAGCUCUGCAGGCUGCCUAAGCCAGAAGUCAGUCUCUGCCUUUAGACUUGCUCACUUCUUUUAGGAACGGAGAUAUCCUCUGAUCCCUUGUCCUACAACCUCGAUUAAUAUCUUUCCAACAGCCAUCUGCCAAACUCAAGAAGACCCUGGAACAACCUAAUUGGAAAAGUUUCCAUCUUAUCCCUUGGAAAACUAUAGAAAAGUAGUGUCACACAAAUGUUUAAUUUCUGAUUUCUACAAUUUCAGAUACCAGAGUUUAUCUGUUACCAUGACAACUAACAGCUUUAUAAAUGUUUUCUAGCCUCUGCUAUUUUCUGGAACUUAUCUACAUUUCAGUAUUUGCUUAAUAAUUUUGAGCUGACACUAGCAACAUAAUUGUGUCUGGAUUGUGUAUGUGUAUGUCUUGUGUGUGUUGGCAGGGGGUGGGUAUAACCUAUGUCAGUGUUUUUCAAUGUGAGCAAAUUUUAAUAAACUUUUAUAUUUAAUGUGAA
rnacentral:lncRNA from 1 species